rnacentral:rRNA from 1 species
CCUACGGGAGGCAGCAGUGGGGAAUAUUGCGCAAUGGGCGAAAGCCUGACGCAGCGACGCCGCGUGAGGGAUGAAGGUCUUCGGAUCGUAAACCUCUGUCAGCAGGGAAGAACGGUCACUGUGCUAAUCAGCAGUGAAUUGACGGUACCUUACCAAGAAGCCCCGGCUAACUACGUGCCAGCAGCCGCGGUAAUACGUAGGGGGCAAGCGUUAUCCGGAUUUACUGGGUGUAAAGGGGGCGCAGACGGCAAUGCAAGCCAGGAGUGAAAGCCCGGAGCCCAACCCCGGGACUGUGCUUGGAACUGCAUGGCUGGAGUACAGGAGGGGAAGGCGGAAUUCCUAGGGUAGCGGUGAAAUGCGUAGAUAUUAGGAGGAACACCAGUGGCGAAGGCGGCCUGCUGGCCUGUGACUGACGUUGAGGCCCGAAGGCGUGGGGAGCAAACAGGAUUAGAUACCCGUGUAGUC